rnacentral:lncRNA from 1 species
GAGAGAGAGAGAGAGAGAGAGAGAGGCAGGAGAUAUGGAGACAAAGAAACCCUAAUAGUGGCUUUGGGCGGUCAUUUGCAAUUGCUCCGGAAAGAAUUUUUUCAUUUCGGAAGGCGGGAACUAACUUUUGCUUCCGGAGCAGCCCAGCGCCUCUCCGCCCGCUUCAGCGAGACGCUCUGCGACCGCGGCUGGGUUUUUUUUUUUGUUGUGUGUGUGUACGCGUUCGGAAAGUAUAAGAGGAAUAUCGUUGUUCGCUACUCGGGGUAGAACAGCGGAUGAUCAUUUUGAUCGCGCCCUCC